AUUGAACGCUGGCGGCAGGCCUAACACAUGCAAGUCGAGCGGUAGAGAGGUGCUUGCAUCUCUUGAGAGCGGCGGACGGGUGAGUAAUGCCUAGGAAUCUGCCUAGUGGUGGGGGAUAACGUUCGGAAACGGACGCUAAUACCGCAUACGUCCUACGGGAGAAAGCGGGGGAUCUUCGGACCUCGCGCCAUUAGAUGAGCCUAGGUCGGAUUAGCUAGUUGGUGAGGUAAAGGCUCACCAAGCCAACGAUCUGUAGCUGGUCUGAGAGGACGACCAGCCACACUGGAACUGAGACACGGUCCAGACUCCUACGGGAGGCAGCAGUGGGGAAUUUUGGACAAUGGACGCAAGUCUGAUCCAGCCAUUCCGCGUGCAGGAUGAAGGCCUCGGGUUGUAAACUGCUUUGUACGGAACGAAAGGUUUCUAUUAAUACUAGGAGCU
rnacentral:rRNA from 1 species